GGCCAUAACUUUGUAUAAUCAAAAUAAUAUAUAAUAUUUUCAAUAUAUUUUAUCUAAUGCACAAAAUAAUUAGGAUAUCACCUUUGUUAACGUUUAGAAAACCUGUACGCAUUGUGCGCCCCUGUUUUCAGAAAUAUUGGUACGGUCUUUUCAAUUGCACUGCAAGCGUACAUUGAGCCACAAGAAGAACGUAAAACCCGCUCCAAAGAAGAUGCCGCGGACCGAUGUCGGUGUUAAUUGAUCUGGUUAUUCUGUUGUAAGAAAAGGAAACACCACACUGCGGCAUAAUUUCAUUUUUGCCCCGCGGAGAGGAGGAUGGUGUGUGGGUUGUCAUAACUUUGGACUCGCUGCUUUUCCUUGACACGCGCACUGAUCCAGUUGGUGAGGAACAUGAGAACAUAUGAAAGCUGGUGGUUCCUUUUAACAUGAGUCUUCAAUAUUCCCAGGUAGAUUACCCUCUCGGCAACAGAUCCUUACAAGGCACCUGGACCUUCUUCCUUGAUACCUCCUUCUCUUUCUCCUGCGAAUGUCGGGGAUGAGGACCUUGUCGGUCGUCUGAAGUAAAUCCUUGCCGUUCGUCUCAUUGAAGAAAAAGUAUUCCUCCAGUACGUGGCAGCAGUUGCAGGGUCUCUGAUCCUGAGGAGAUGACGGAAGUGGUAGAGCCCAAGCUGGACUUUGCAUCCUCGGGUCGCUCGGGGAGAAGGAACGCCCUACCUGACAUCCUGGGGUCACCGGCUGGGGUCAACCCCACUGACCUUCCACUCAAACUGGCCGAGCUCAACCUCACAGAUGUUCAGGGAGAAGCCCAGUCUCCCACGGCGGAGGAGGCCCCACCCCCUCCAGAGAGCUCUGAGGAGAAUGAGGGAUCAUAAGGCUGCCUGGUGGGGGUCUAACUAGCCCCAAUGUUUACCUCUUGUGAGGCUGAUGAGAACUGUAGGAGAGGAAUGGAUGGGUAGGACGAUACAGAAAGACCCAUGAAGGAGUGGUGGGCCCGUUUGAACAGCAACUGAGCUGCAGACAGUGAGUGAUGAGCAGAGAAAGGGUGGGAGAGAAGGUUAGAAGGAUGGACAGAGAACCGUCUCUAUCACACAAUCUGAAAAGACUCAAGAAGAGCGUUGGUGUGUGUGUGCGGGUGGACAGAUCACCUCUACUCCCACACACACUGCCAUGAGAAACAAAGGACAUACGCUGAUUAUAUACUGCUGUGCAAAACGGAGAACUCUCAAUUGAAAAGAAAUGCCAAAUGUCCUGCUGAUGUCUAUAACAGGUCGGAAGAUGGGUGGAUCCUAGUGGCCUCUAGGGGUUCUGAGCUUUCUGAUUGUUCUGGAACAUAUAAGGGGAUAACGUACUAGAAAUGUUUGAAGAACGAGGGGCGAGUGGGUUAACUGUAACAAGGGGCAGCUGGCUUCCUCUUUCACACAGACAUUUGAUGUAAGUAUGAAUUCCAAUCUGAGACUUUAAUGCGGAUGGCAGCGCGGUGUGUACAGCAGAUAUGGGUUUCUAAACGUUGUUAGUGGUUUUGAUGACAACCAAUGGGGCUAUCAUGCUAAUGGGUUGAGAUGAAGACAAUGACUGAUGUGUUUGUGACCUGAAGUGUUGAUGUGUUUGUUUGCAAAGGUUAGCUAGAAGCUGAUGCUAAUGUUAUGAGUAGGUUGGACAAUCCAAUCCUUGUCUUUUAAACAUUCCUGACAUCAACCUAAAAGGGUUUCUCACUGCCAACCAUGUCCUGUUAAAACACUCCUCUGCUGUUGGUGUAUUUCUAUCCCGGAUUCAUCCCAGCUCAGACUUUCUCUGUUUCCAUCUACGUGGGCCGGCACCCGUGUCUCACUGAACCAUGGCUCCAGUGGACCUGCACUCACUUGGAGCCGGAGCCAGGCCGCUGGUACUUCUCAGAUGGCAUUUCCAUAACAAUGGCUCACUGUGAACUUUAACACCUUCUCACCAAGCUGCUGUUUGGAUUGUGCAUCGGUUGUUGAAUUCUGCUCUUCACACGUCCUCAGUGUCAGCACAAUAGCUAUGGAAACACACUGGCUAGAAUAACAUAAGGGUGUAUACACUCUUGUAACAUUGGUGUCAUGGUUGAAAAAAACAGCAUGUGACAACUGCUGUUGUGUUAAUCUAUUCAGCUCAAGGCUGUCUUUCGUUAAAAGGCUUUCUGUUUUCCCAGACUCCUCUGAAAUGUGCCUGGUAGCAGUUUACAUGGAAACCUGUUGUGUUGUGUUCUAUAGCUCUGUGUGAAGUGUUUUUCAACAGUAUUUGGGCCAUUGACACAUACAUGUAAACACCUAUUUUUUUUUUUUGGUUUAGUAGAAGACGUGCCGACCAGGUGUGUACAGCACAGAGAAAUGUCACAUUUCUAACCAGAACAAUACUAAAUGCAAUGUUACCGACGUAUACGCUCAAAGACGAAUACCACCCACGCCCACAGCAAGGCCUUGGAGAUGGAACGCUUGUGCACAUGUUUCCCAGUGUGGUCGGCAUAUGCCUGUGGUCUGGGCAUGGGAGCAAGCACCAAGCAACACCGCCACCAAAGUGUUGCAUCACGUCUGGGGAUGGCAGCAUCCUUUCUGCCUCCUUCUGCUCCACUCAGCCAUGGAUGGACUGGGACCAUAAAUCAGCCCCGGCAUUUGUAACACACAGGCCCUUUUUUUCCCUGGAGGCCCCUAUUGUUAGCCAAAUAAUGGUCAUUCUGCAUUUAAAAAACAACAAUUUAGACAAGCCCACUUGGCUAAAGAUGGACCAUCUGGCCUUUUCCCGAACUGCCCUAUGGCCAGUCCGUGCCUGCACUACGCUGCCGGUCUGAGAGGACUUCAGUCUCUUACUCAUCAAAACCAUAGAGCUAGAAAUGCAUGAUCGCAACUGACUGAUGAUACAGUUUGAAUAUGAACACUGAGGACCAGAUGCACGGUGAACAGAAGGACAUAUACAGUACUUAGUAAUGCCAAUAUAUAUAUAUAUAUA